UGUCCACUGGGAUGCACAUCUGUGCUGGUUCGCACGUGCUUUGGUUUACACUUGAGAAAAUAUGCACAUGGAGAAGUUCACAUUUGAGGAGAUUUACACGUGCCAAGAUCUCAAAGCCCCAGAAUUUAUAUGUGAAGUGAAUUACAUGGAUGAGUACUUAUAUGUGCUAGAAUUUGGUCAUGCAGGAAUUUACACUCAGGAGGAUAUACAGGUGUGGAUAUUUAAAGAUUAACAUGUAUGGGUAGAAACUCAUGUGAUGUGCUGGACAUACGUUGCCUUGUAACUGUGGGAAUCAGUAAAUUGACGAGUACCUCCAACAACCAGUGACCGGCUUGACUCACCUGCGAGAACAAAGAUGUGCAGGUGUUAAUGACCGGGAAGCGCCUAUAAUUACUGUAGUGAUUCACUCUCUGACAUUUGCGUUAAUGAAGUAAUGCCUGCAGAGAAUCAUUCCUGCCUUGUUGUGCUUCACCUCCUCUGACGACUCGUGAUGAUUCGCGGAUGAAUUAUAGAUGGAACAAUUUGUGAUUUAUUGCGUCUUGACACUUCUGUGACUGAUCUCAUCCGCGAAGACACCAGUGUUUCACGUGUGAUGAGUUCUGCAAGCUGAGGUUCAAAUGUGGUGACUCAUCGCAGCCCUGACUGGUGAAGUCGGCGAUGACAAGAAAGCCGCCAACGUCAAACGGCAUAAUUGGGAGAAGUGGCGGCCGUGUCAUGGCGGGGCAUUAGUUCUGGUUAUUACCACGUUAUGGCCGCAGCUGCCUGCAGUGUAAACAUAUUGGUCCCCGCUUUCCCCCGCCCACAAACAUACAACCAGUGGGGCUGCCAUAACUAAUAUACCUUUCUUUCCACGUUCACUUGUAGCUUCUGUUGUAUCGAGGGUAUAAUGGGCUUUUAGCUUCAACAGAGUUCAGUCAGAUGGAAGCACGAUGAGUAAAAAGAGGUGAACAGAUCCCCAGUGCAUGGCAAUGUUGUGCUUAUUUAGAAUAAGAUGACGUAUCAUGUGUUAGUCCUGUUUUAGCCUCAAUAUGAUGAUCUCCUUCCUUUUGCUAUUUGCUAGGAGGAAUUGCCCUUUAAGAUAAAAAGGCGUUGAAUAAUGUCGAAGCCUUAGAAGUGGUAUACUUGUGUCCUGCAGGUGAACAUGUGUUUGUAAAAGAAAGUUGCUUAAGAUUGUUAUCGAACUGGUGACGUAGUGGUUGGGAAGGACGUUACUGUGUGUGUGUUCAAUGAAGACAGUAAGACAUUAGAAGAUAACCGGUGACGAGGGCCGAGAUGUGUGUGGCGGUCCGGUCAAAGGUGUACGUUAUUCUCGACCUGUGGGGAGCACAAGCGGUGGCGAGCGGGAGUGGGUUGGCAUGAGGGCAAGCGGACCGCGGCAGUGGACAGUGGGGCUUGGCUGCCGCUCGGUGGAAGCGUGCAGUGUCGGAGACAUUGACGUCGCUCACAGCCCUCGUGGCUCUCGCACCAUCACUACCGUCAUCUCCGAAGAAACAUAUUUUUAAAAAAGUUCAUUGAUUACGUAGCGAAGGCUCCUCCCACCUGUCAAUCAAGGUGCCACAGUCGCUCAUUGAUCAAUUACUGUCGAGGCUCCGCCCGUGGGCGGGGCUUCCCCACUAUCAUCCUCACCACCACCAGCUCAGGCCGCGCUUCUUGGCGGUCUGGCCUCAUUCUUAACCCAGGGCAGGCUGGUUUUGAAAACCAAGGUCUGCCGCCUACACGGUUGCCAGGUGUCCUGCCUGCAUAACACUCAAAUUUCAUGUGAUCCUGAAAGUCUAAGUAAAACACCAAUAGUUGGCUCCGCCUCUCAUGACGUCACGUAAGUCAGUAGCCAAUCGGGAGACAGACCUCAAUUUGAUGUGAUGGUCAUGCUGUCACUUGCCACUCAUACGCCACACUCACUGAUGCCUUCGUGUUUGGUGUAAAUGUGUACAAGGACUGUUCAGGCAGAUAACUGGAACCACAGGGAGGGGACUCCAUGAUAACCAAAAGUUUUCCUUGCAGGGAGGGAGUGCGGGGCAACGUGGGGGCGCACCGCAGAGCUUGCCCCGGGGAAGGCAAACACGGAGCGGAACGCCCCUUCCCGCACUUGGCCACUAAAGAAAGAGAAGAAAAAUAUCGCAUGUCGGAGCACAGCUGGACCUCGUUUACUCAGGGUGGAUGAGCGAGGCGGUGUCUGAUGGCUGGCGGAGUGAAGCGCACCGCGAGGAAGGAGGAAGUGCGUCAUGCCGCCGCCUGCCUCCAAAGCUCCCAGGCCCCAAGCAGCGGACGCCUACUCACCUUCAGACGACUUGGAUCAGCAAACUCGCAAGGGUGCACACGAUAAACAAAAAUCUACCUGACUGUCCUUCCUCCCCGUCCCUGCACAAGGAGCAGCACUGAAAGACUAACAGGAGACAUGAACGUCCGUGCUGUUUUGAUUGUUGCUCAGAAGGCCGGCGAACGACAGGCCUUCUUUGAACAAUCAAAGGGGUACAGGCUGAACCUCGACAUUCAACAUCUACCAUUCGCUCCUGGCAGCGGUGUGGAUCCUGGCUACUCACCUGCUUCCUUCAGCUUAUUAUAGAUUGUGUUAUGAGAAGACAUGUUGGAUAUUUGCUGAAAAAUAUCUCAUGUAAUCAAGAUAAAACAGAGCAGAACUCAAAGUAUUAUUUCAUACACUGCUUAUCGUAUUCAUAAGCACAAGUAUGCCGAUUCCUGUCAAACCCUCACUAUGACCUCACAGGGUGUCCUGCUUGAUCAACUGUCUGGUAAAUUUUAGGAAAUCGAAACUGAAUUUCCUGUCAGUAGACCACCACCACUGUGAUAAAUCAAUGUAUGUGUGUGUGUGUGUGUGUGUGUGUAGUUACCUAGUUGCAGUAUGCAGGAUUUGAGCUGAGUUUGUGUGAGCGUUUGUGCGUGUGUGUACAUUGUGUAGACAUCAUACUCUGCUAGUGGACAGGAUAGGGAAUUCAGUCUCAUGAAAAGGAAAACAUUGCUUAGAGUAAAAUCACAGUGAAAUGAGUUGCACCUUACAUGAUGGACAACACAGACGCUGGUUUUAACAUUUUCUUGUGACACUAUUUUUUUUUUUCCCAUUGCUCAAAGUUCAGCUUGACAACUGUUUGUUUAUGACAUUGCCAGUGUAAAACUAAAUUGGUAUUAGGUACAGGAUAACAAAGUAUAAGGGGUAUGCUUCUUUAACCUCGAAGAAAUAGUGGUCAGAGAAUGAGAUGUUACACAUUGUACAGUGCAGGUGGUGGCCAAGUGAUCAGGAUUCGGCGGCACGAGUUUUGAGUCCUGCCAGAAGUUUUUUUUUAUUCAUGCAAAAGAAAAAUAAACGAAAAUCAGAGCAAAGACUGCAGUGGACUUUGAAAAUGGUUCAAUUGAGAGUCCGGAACAUUAGAAUACGGUCAAGGAUCGGUGUAAGACUGGAUGGUUGUUUACUUAGACUAUCCGAAGCAAAAAAAAAAAAAAAUCGUAGUUGAGCACACACACACACACACACACACACAAUGUCAUUGUAAAGAAAAUUUAAUAAAUUCCAAACUAUGAAUAAUGUAUCUUAAUCUCCCACAAUAUUAUUCGUCAAAAAAAAAAAAAAAAAUCCUUACAAAUGAACAUAUAAAUGAAUAAAAAGCUAAUUCACUGAAGGGCAAGUUUUAAGAGUACGAGACUAUAAAGAGUUUGAUUGCGCGAAGUAUUGUAACAUGUAAACAGAGACCGAGGCACGUGUUGGCAUCGUCUGUGUUAAUUUUAUCGUGGUGUCAUGUUUCGUUACGUUGCCUUGCUGACUCUGCCAUAUUGCUGCAACUCUCAUCUCUAAGAGCUGUGAGUCAAGUAAUAUUCCUUUAUGUUGCAUUUAUUGUUGCAUUUCUGCGCCGCAUCUUGGUUCGUAUUUUGAAGCGCUUUGUUUUCUCAUGAGACCGUCCUCAGAGGCCUCAGAUAUGAUUAGACAAGUUUUCAUGGCUGUUUAUCCCAUUAACGAUGCAAAAUCCUUGUUAAAUUGUCAUUAUAAUCAUGGAAACAUCCUUGAUAAACCCAAUACCUUUAAUUAUAGCUGUCGGAACUAAUCGAAAUGAGAAGCCAAAAUAUUUGAGGAUUCUUCGAGUCCCUUAAAUACAAUGUGCUUUCACUACCAAUCACAGCGAAAAAUACUUAGGUAUAACUUUCAGUAGAGAAACUUCAAACCAAUGUUCACUAACAAAAGCUUCGUCAUUACUAAACAUUUCAUUGAUCCAAAUUACGGAUUUCCUUAUGAUUUCACGAACAGAAGAGGGAAAGGAUCGGGUGGCUCUGCAAUAAUUCGUAGUCGAAAGGAUGCGAGUUCGGUCUCCGCACGCGGCAGUUGCUUCGGGCUGAGAAGUUGCGCCCUCUUCACCUUGGGUCAAUGUUUUCCGCAGGGGUAGAAGACCUUACAAGUUGUAUGGGUGAAUAUUUUUUUUUUUUUUUGUUGCCUUAAGUUCUCUAUCCACAUUGAAUAAAACACAGACAUUACAAGAUUAGAUGCCCAUAUAUAAGCUCCACUUCCCUUUCCUCAAUUUCUAUAUUCUGUGAUUCUACGUUCAACUUCAGAAUCUGUUGUUUGCAAUGUUUAAGUCUUGUUUAUUUGCUAUUUUAAGAACUCUUUAUACUAGAAAAAAUAAUGAAUGAUAUCUCCCAGUUUCAUAUCAACAUCUGUUUUGAGUCUUCGGUCAACGUGAAGUAUCUGUUCUAUAAAUAAAAGUGGAGGUCUGAUCCUACCAUGCAGUCUCAUUCACUGAUAAUGAAAUAUUCUCAGUUCUAGAUAGGAAAAUCCUGGUCAUGUCCAUAACACACGGUCUGUUUUGCUGUGGGGAAGAGCUGGCGGUUGUGAACUUGUAAUCCACAAGAUUAACUUACAUUCAUUUUCGUGUGAACACUAAACCAAGUAGAGUUACAUGCUCUUUACUUUAUAUUCCAAUAAGAAAUAGUGAAAUAAAAGAACUGUUAUUGACAAGUUUCA